rnacentral:rRNA from 1 species
AGCGAACGCUGGCGGCAGGCUUAACACAUGCAAGUCGAACGGCCCUUCGGGGUAGUGGCGGACGGGUGAGUAACACGUGGGAACGUGCCUUUAGGUUCGGAACAACACAGGGAAACUUGUGCUAAUACCGGAUGUGCCCCUUCGGGGGAAAGAUUUAUCGCCUUUAGAGCGGCCCGCGUCUGAUUAGCUUGUUGGUGGGGUAAAGGCCUACCAAGGCGACGAUCAGUAGCUGGUCUGAGAGGAUGGCCAGCCACAUUGGGACUGAGACAC